GACGAACGCUGGCGGCGUGCCUAAUACAUGCAAGUAGAACGGAAAGGCCCUGCUUUUGUGGGGUGCUCGAGUGGCGAACGGGUGAGUAACACGUGAGUAACCUGCCCUUGACUUUGGGAUAACUUCAGGAAACUGGGGCUAAUACCGGAUAGGAGCUCCUGCUGCAUGGUGGGGGUUGGAAAGUUUCGGCGGUUGGGGAUGGACUCGCGGCUUAUCAGCUUGUUGGUGGGGUAGUGGCUUACCAAGGCUUUGACGGGUAGCCGGCCUGAGAGGGUGACCGGCCACAUUGGGACUGAGAUACGGCCCCGACUCCUACGGGAGGCAGCAGUGGGGAAUAUUGCACAAUGGGCGGAAGCCUGAUGCAGCAACGCCGCGUGCGGGAUGACGGCCUUCGGGUUGUAAACCGCUUUCGCCUGUGACGAAGCGUGAGUGACGGUAAUGGGUAAAGAAGCACCGGCUAACUACGUG
rnacentral:rRNA from 1 species